rnacentral:rRNA from 1 species
UACGUAGGGUGCAAGCGUUGUCCGGAAUUAUUGGGCGUAAAGAGCUCGUAGGCGGUCUGUUGCGUCGGCUGUGAAAACCCGGGGCUCAACCCCGGGCCUGCAGCCGAUACGGGCAGACUAGAGUUCGGCAGGGGAGACUGGAAUUCCUGGUGUAGCGGUGAAAUGCGCAGAUAUCAGGAGGAACACCGGUGGCGAAGACGGGUCUCUGGGCCGAUACUGACGCUGAGGAGCGAAAGCGUGGGGAGCGAACAGG